GUGCCAGCAGCCGCGGUAAUACGUAGGUCACAAGCGUUACCCGGUUUUAUUGGGCGUAAAGCGUCUGUAGGUGGUUUUGCAAGUCUUGUUUCAAAGACCUCGGCUCAACCGAGGGCAGGGGCAGGAUACUGUAAGACUAGAGUGAUAUCGGGGUUACUGGAAUUUUUAGUGUAGGGGUAAAAUCCGUGGAUACUAAAAAGAACACCAAGCGCGAAGGCGGGUAACCAGGUAUUUACUGACACUCAGAGACGAAAGCUAGGGUAGCCAAUCAGAUUAGAGACCUGAGUAGUCCUAGCCGUAAACGAUGUAUGUUAAUUCUCUGCAAUUUAUUGUGGGGGAUGUAAGCUAACGCGUUAAACAUACCGCCUGGGGAGUAUAGCCGCAAGGCCGAAACUCAAACGAAUUGGCGGGGAGGCGCACAACCAGUGGAGCAUGUGGUUCAAUUCGAUACAAAGCGAUGAACCUUACCUGGGUUUGACAUGUAUCUGCAAACUCCCAGAAACGGGAGAAUCCUUCGAGGGUGAUACACAGCUGUUGCAUGGCUGUCGUCAGCUCGUGACGUGAGUUGUUCUCUUAAGUGAGGUAACGAGCGCAACCCCCAUCCGGUGUUACUGUGUCACCGGAGACUGCCUAGCAUUAUUUUGUUAGGAGGAAGGAGGGGACGACGUCAAGUCAGCAUGAUGCUUAUGUCCAGGGCUACACACAUCCUACAAUGGGGAGUACAAUGGGUCGCAAAACCGCGAGGUGGAGCUAAUCCCACAAAACUUCCCUCAGUUGGGACUGCAGGCUGAAACUCGCCUGCACGAACCCGGAAUUGGUAGUAAUCGCGCAUCAGCAGCGCGCGGUGAAUACGUUCUCGCCUCUUGCACACACCGCCCGUC
rnacentral:rRNA from 1 species